UCACUGACGGAUGCAAACACAGAGUUCUCUGUCAGGGCAGAAACAUCUCUGGUUAUAAAAACUUAUGUCUUUAAAAGGAGAAUGAAGCCCAGAAUAUACGUCCUUAAAGUACUGUCACGUACCAAUUUUCUCAAGGUUUGAAGGUGUUCCUUUCUCUUCAGAGGCUAUGAAGUAGUGCUGUCCCCUGUGACAGUCCUGCAGUGAGAGGAACUUCCUUCCCAGUAGAACUAUCAACUCUUGAGAUAGAAGAAUUUAUGGCUACAAUGGAUGAAAACAAAUCAAGCAUGAUGCAAAGAAAUGGAUUUGAAGAUCAGCUGGGAAGAUGUUGUUAGUGAGCCAUGAAUGGGCAGAAGAGUAAUGGAAGUGCCGUAAGCAGAUGAGUGCAGGCCUGAGGGCCUGUGGAGAAAUGAAAAGGGAGAUGUAGGCAAGAUGAGGUUAUAUAGGGUUUAAUGUAAAGAUAUUAAUCAGGAAUUCAUCAAGAUACAUAGCAAGGCGAAGGUUACCCUCAUUUUGGGUUUUGCUGGAGAAAGCUGAGAGAAGCUAAGAGAAUAGAGAAAGUUAAGGUGGCUAAGACUGGAAGCUGAUGCAUUCACCUAGUUAUCAUGUGGUCAGUGAGUUUAUCAGUUACUUGACUCCCUGGGCAAACAGGGAGGUACCUACAGGCUGUAGAUACUUCAGAACGGCAAAAUAACAUAUGGCCUUUUUAUGGCUCCAUUCAGCCAAAGCUAGAGACUGACAGGAACUUUCAACCAGACAGCAGACCUACUUACAGAAUAGAAAGAGUAAAGAAAAAUGAGCCCUGUAAGGUCCCUAGAUUCCAGGCAAAAGGCCCUGGAAAGAAACUAAAAUAAAGUGUUUUGUAUAAACAAGUCUGGCCCUAAAUCCUCUGUGAUUAAAGGGAUUUUUAAUAAGCAUAUACAAAAAGAAAUGUAUUCUAGAUUUCUAUCCAUUCUUUUAGAAACAAAGUGUAUAUUC